AGGAAUAAAUGUAUUGAUAGAGAUUUGAAGUAUUUUUCUGAUUGAUUACAGCAAACCUGAAUGUUUCGAGUGGAUUGCAGAAAUGCGAGUCAUCACACCAUUUGAGUUUGGAGUGGAAUCACUACCUUGUAGUUGGUUAGAACAAAGUUCCUUUUCAAUGUAGAAGUCAAAUGACAAUGGGGAUCUAGAAAGUUUGGUGCUGCUUUUAAAUGUUUGAAAAUUAUGGAAAAUGCCACAUUCCUAAGUAUGGACAAUCAGAUUGGAGAUUAGAGAUGGACGUGUUUGGUAAUUUGGAGGGCAAGAGCUUGCUCAUUUUGUGUUUUUGUUAAUAUUAACUUACAUGUAUUUUAGUUGCGUUGUAAAGUUUAUAUUUUUGUAUAUAUUAGGUGACAUGUUUGGUAAUCUGCACUUGAUAUUAUAUUUUUUUGGAUAUUAGGAGACG